GUGUCAGCAGCCGCGGUAAUACAGAGGGUGCAAGCGUUAAUCGGAAUUACUGGGCGUAAAGGGUGCGUAGGUGGACGCAUAAGUCGGAUGUGAAAUCCCUGGGCUUAACCUAGGAACUGCAUUCGAUACUGUGAGUCUAGAGUAUGGUAGAGGUAAGUGGAAUUUCCGGUGUAGCGGUGAAAUGCGUAGAUAUCGGAAGGAACAUCAGUGGCGAAGGCGACUUACUGGACUGAUACUGACACUGAGGCACGAAAGCGUGGGGAGCAAACAGGAUUAGAUACCCGCGUAGUCC
rnacentral:rRNA from 1 species